AACGAUUUUAUUUUUCAUCUGAUUACCAUCAUUUUCUCUCUCUCUCUCGGGUCUAAGAGUGGGAUGGAUGUAGGAAGAGGAAGGAGUUGUCCUAAUAUGGGUUACUGAAAUGUUAUUGGCCCAUGUUAAAUACAGAAAUGGAGGGUUUAGAAAUGUUUAAGGUGAUUUUACUUUGCCACAGUGUCCAAGCACCUGAUCAAUGAUCCUGUCUUGAUGAAGAGGGCAGUGGUGAGCAUUUGGGGUGCUGUUGAAUUUGUGUGGUGGCUCACACACACUAGGACCACAUAUCCUCCCUCAAAAUUUUGGAAAUUUUAAAAAACUCAUCCUUAACUGCAGAGAGUUUAUAAAAUAUGUUGUCAAAGAUAACAUAGCCCUAGUCACAUGGUAAGGAAAAGCCAACAUUCAAGAAAUGCUUGGAAACUGAGAAAUGUUAAAGGCAGGAGUACAAAGGAGGUGAAGAGAAUGGUCACUGUAGGUUGAGGUGAAACAGGAAGUCGAUCCUUGGAGAUGAAUCCUCAGAGGGUCUUGAAAAAAAAAGUUGGCAAAUAUUAAGGGGUAGAAGGAUGUUUCAAGAGAGAGGAAGCCGUGAGCGAAGGCAUGGAGGCCUAUGCAGAAGAUGUGAAGGCCAUGCACAUUAUUUGCUGAUUGAAAUAGAAAGGUCAAGAGUCUGGGUUCUACCAUUUGGCAACCGUCCUAAUGAUAAUUGAUUCAAGUAAGAACACUAAUGGAUGCUAAGGAGUGGGCAAGUUUGAGAAAUAACAGACUAUUUAGAUAGUCUCAAAGUAUCCGCCCUCCAGAUUCUUAAUGACAAAGCAAAACUAAUAACCCUCCAAUGAUAAAACCUAGCAGAUACCACCUUAACUAACUGAUCAGUUAGUGUUACAAGAGAUGAGAAAAAUCCACAGCAUUUGCCUCCUGAUGUGAUGCACUGGGGAAAACACAACAACACAACAUCAUAUUUGUGUUAUUCCUGCAAAAAAAAAAUAGCAUAACCUAAAUCUACUCAUGAGGAAACAUCACGCAAAUGUCACUUGAAAAACAUUCUACAAAAUAGCUGGUCCGUAUUCUUCAAAAAUGUCAAUAUCAUGAAAGACAAAGAUUGAGGAAGUGUUGCAGAUUAAAGGAGACUGCAGACACGUGACAACUGAAUGCAAUGCAUGAUGUGGGAUUAUCUUUUGCUUUAAAGCAAAAUGCUGUUCUUUAAAGGACAGUAUUGGGACAAUUGGUGAAAUCUGAAUAAGGCCUGUUUACUAGAUAAAGACAACCCUCAAGUCAACUCAGAAGCAGGUCUUGUUUCCAUGGAGAUGUAUUUAAGGAUAAAGACAGAGGAACAAAUACCAGACCAGCAAACUUACCUGAAUCCAGCUGCCCUCAGAGUAUGGCUGAGGCUUGGUCAAAGCCCAGAACUUAGCAAGGGUUAGAGGACAUCAUGGGACCAUAUUCCCAGUCACUCCAGGUUUGAGAAACAAUUCCACAACCGCUCUUCUCCCAUCAAGCUAAUACAUUUUGAGGAAAAACUCAAGAUUUCAAGAAAUAGGCUCUCGGACACAAUUCUGUGGGGGAGGUAAGAAGUCUGUGGCACAGACUUUCUGUCAGGCAAUUUGGCAAUGUAUAGCGGCAGUCCUAAAAAUGUAUGUA